rnacentral:rRNA from 1 species
UACGUAGGGGGCAAGCGUUGUCCGGAAUUAUUGGGCGUAAAGCGCACGUAGGCGGCCCGGUAAGUCGGAUGUGAAAGCCCUCGGCUCAACUGAGGAAGUGCAUUCGAAACUGCCAGGCUUGAAUAUGGAAGAGGGUCGCGGAAUUCCCGGUGUAGAGGUGAAAUUCGUAGAUAUCGGGAGGAACACCAGUGGCGAAGGCGGCGACCUGGGCCAAUAUUGACGCUGAGGUGCGAAAGCGUGGGGAGCAAACAGG